GAUGAACGCUGGCGGCGUGCCUAAUACAUGCCAGUCGAGCGAACGGACGAGAAGCUUGCUUCUCUGAUGUUAGCGGCGGACGGGUGAGUAACACGUGGAUAACCUACCUAUAAGACUGGGAUAACUUCGGGAAACCGGAGCUAAUACCGGAUGAUAUUUUGGACCGCAUGGUUCAAAAGUGAAAGACGGUCUUGCUGUCACUUAUAGAUGGAUCCGCGCUGCAUUAGCUAGUUGGUAAGGUAACGGCUUACCAAGGCAACGAUGCAUAGCCGACCUGAGAGGGUGAUCGGCCACACUGGAACUGAGACACGGUCCAGACUCCUACGGGAGGCAGCAGUAGGGAAUCUUCCGCAAUGGGCGAAAGCCUGACGGAGCAACGCCGCGUGAGUGAUGAAGGUCUUCGGAUCGUAAAACUCUGUUAUUAGGGAAGAACAUAUGUGUAAGUAACUGUGCACAUCUUGACGGUACCUAAUCAGAAAGCCACGGCUAACUACGUG
rnacentral:rRNA from 1 species